rfam:Archeaon Loki Lokiarch_contig000348, whole genome shotgun sequence.
CCUCGAAAUGGACGAAUGUGGCUACCCAUGGGUGCGUCACUGGUAACGGUGGGGUGCUAAGCGUUGGGGACAAAGUACCUACAGAGGAGACUACACUCCUGCUGGGGGC